UACGGAGGGUGCAAGCGUUAUCCGGAUUCACUGGGUUUAAAGGGUGCGUAGGAGGGCAGGGGAAGUCAGUGGUGAAAUCUCCGGGCUUAACUCGGAAACUGCCGUUGAUACUCUCUGUCUUGAAUCCCGUGGAGGUGAGCGGAAUAUGUCAUGUAGCGGUGAAAUGCUUAGAUAUGACAUAGAACACCAAUUGCGAAGGCAGCUCGCUACACGAAGAUUGACUCUGAGGCACGAAAAGCGUGGGGGAUCAAA
rnacentral:rRNA from 1 species